GGGGAUGGCUGCUGUACCCACCUGACGCGCGCGAGAAAACUGAGGCCCAAGGCUGAGAGGCACCUGCCCAAGGUCCUCCAGAGCGGGGUUAUGGAGCACAGAGAGCCCUUGAGACAGCUGCAGCUACCCCACCAAUGAUGGCCAGAGUCCCAGCAUCUUGGCAGCCUAGGCUUCACCAAGAGGUCAAGGUCCUCUUCAGGGGAGACAGCCAUACUCCUGCAGGAAGGCACUGACUGCUAAAAGAUCCUCCUUCCCUCCACUGCCAGAACGAGACCAUCUUGUCAGCUCUCGCCUGGGCAAAACCUCCAUGAGGUUUUGUGCCGGAAACCUCACCCCCAAAGACACAUGGGAUAGGAUCAACAGGAUAAGGAACAGUAAGAACACUUCCGCAAGUCUGGGUCCCUUGGUCUAGAAUAGCACCCAGCAGGGGGAUGGAGGGAGGGGCCCAGGACACACAAGCUUUAGCUCCAUAGCCUAGAAUGGACUUGGUCAUUUGGAGUCCUGAGGUCCUUUCCAUUUAAAGUCUUCCCAUCAAUGGGAAGUAAUUAACUAUGCCUCCCCCUCACU